UACGUAGGCAGCAAGCGUUGUUCGGAAUUACUGGGCGUAAAGCGCGUGUAGGCGGCAACGCAAGUCGGGCGUGAAAUCCCACGGCUCAACCGUGGAAGUGCACUCGAAACUGCGUAGCUAGAGUCCUGGAGAGGAAGGUGGAAUGCUUGGUGUAGAGGUGAAAUUCGUAGAUAUCAAGCGGAACACCGGUGGCGAAGGCGGCCUUCUGGACAGUGACUGACGCUGAGACGCGAAAGCGUGGGGAGCAAACAGG
rnacentral:rRNA from 1 species